rnacentral:misc_RNA from 1 species
CUCAGUCGCUUGGAAUUGCUCCAGGUGAAAUUCCUCGCUCAAUCUCUUCCCUUCUCCUCUAUACUCUCUCUCUCCUCCUCCUCCUUCUUCUUUCAGUCACCCUACUCUUACCUUACACGCUGUGUUUCUUUGUUAAUCUUGUCCUAGUAUUGGGCAGCCUGUGCCAGAUUACUUGGUUUUUCCUAAUUGGAUUGUAACAUUUUGACAUGGGCAAUCCCUUAAUUGUUUUCUAAAACAAGCACAGGAAAGAAAGGAAA